rnacentral:rRNA from 1 species
GAUGAACGCUGGCGGCGUGCCUAAUACAUGCAAGUCGAGCGAACAGACGAGGAGCUUGCUCCUCUGACGUUAGCGGCGGACGGGUGAGUAACACGUGGAUAACCUACCUAUAAGACUGGGAUAACUUCGGUAAACCGGAGCUAAUACCGGAUAAUAUAUUGAACCGCAUGGUUCAAUAGUGAAAGACGGUUUUGCUGUCACUUAUAGAUGGAUCCGCGCCGCAUUAGCUAGUUGGUAAGGUAACGGCUUACCUAGGCAACGAUGCGUAGCCGACCUGAGAGGGUGAUCGGCCACACUGGAACUGAGACACGGUCCAGACUCCUACGGGAGGCAGCAGUAGGGAAUCUUCCGCAAAGGGCGAAAGCCUGACGGAGCAACGCCGCGUGAGUGAUGAAGGUCUCCGGAUCGUAAAACUCUGUUAUUAGGGAAGAACAAAUGUGUAAGUAACUAUGCACGUCUUGACGGUACCUAAUCAGAAAGCCACGGCUAACUACGUG